rfam:Strongyloides venezuelensis genome assembly, scaffold: SVE_scaffold0000015
UCUCUGGUAGUAUAGUGGUGAGUAUCCGCGCCUGUCACGUGCGAGACCGGGGUUCGAUUCCCCGCCAGAGAG